rnacentral:rRNA from 1 species
GACAGAGGGUGCAAACGUUGCUCGGAAUCACUGGGCGUAAAGGGCGUGUAGGCGGGCAGGUAAGUCGGGCGUGAAAUCCCUGAGCUCAACUCAGGAACUGCACUCGAAACUACUUGUCUUGAGUACCGGAGAGGAAAGCGGAAUACCUGGUGUAGAGGUGGAAUUCGUAGAUAUUAGGAAGAACACCAGUGGCGAAGGCGGCUCACUGGUCCGGUACUGACGCUUAGGUGCGAAAGCGUGGGGAGCAAACAGG